AUGUCUUCUCACUACAGUUGUUUGUGUCUAGUACAGAUGUCUUCUCACUCCAGUUGUUUGUGUCUAGUACAGAUGUCUUCUCACUCCAGUUGUUUGUGUCUAGUACAGAGGUCUUCUCACUCCAGUUGUUUGUUUGUCCGAGGAGGAGCUGUUGAACGCCAUCGGCUCUGUGUGUCUAAGUGCAGGUACGGUUUCUCCUCUCCUUCUGACACUAGGAGCAGUUGUCUCUUGUCCCUGUGAUGGGGAUUGUUGGUGAUAAUGAAGGAUGGUGGUGAUAACUGGGGAUGAUGAUUGGUGAUAAUGGGGGGGUGAUGUUGGGUGAGGUAUGGGGGUGAUGAUUGGUGAAAUGAGGAAUGUUGGUGAUAAUGAGGAGGAUGUUGGUGAUAAUGAGGAGGAAUGAUGAUGAUGUCUGUUAGUGGAACUCCAGAGAUCCUCCCCGGGCCAGCCCCAGUGUACCAGAGGUGAUAGAUCUGGUGUUGAAGGAGUGUCGUAAAGACACCUGGUCUACAGAUGGCGCCCUGGGCUGUGCUGCUGAGUCCUGAAGGCCACACAGGAAGACCGCUUCAGUGAUAUGGCAACAUACUCAUUCCACUCAUUAAGAAGGUGAGAGAGAGACAGAUGGACAGAGUUUGUGUAUUUUCCCUUUAUGACAUCAGUGUUCUACCGAUUGGCCAAAAUGUCUGAGUCCAAUCCUGGUUACAGAAUUCUGCAGCAACUUCGAGUUGAGACAUGAUAGUGAGGACGAUCGGGAUGAGAAGGAGAAGGAGUGCAGACUGAAGCUCUACUCUGUGCCUUCCAGACGCUGGGCAAGACCUGGCCCAACAACACACAAACCCAGGGUAAGGUUCUGACUGGCCCACAACCAAAAACCCAGUGGUAAUGGUUCUGACUGGCCCAACAACACACAAACCCAGGUAAAGUUCUGACUGGCCCAACGGCGGCACAAACCCGGGUGAGAUUGUUAAUGUUUUGGUCUAAUUUCAAUAGAAGCCAAACAAAAUAAGGUGAUUAUAUCAGAAGUGAUUGUAAUUGUAUUGUAGUACUGUGUGUUUAAUGCUGUCUCUCCUGUGUUCCCAGAGCGUUUCCAGUUGGACCUGUGCUGU
rnacentral:lncRNA from 1 species